UGGUACCUCUAUACGAUACCAAAAUAUUUCAUUUAUUUCAGUACUUUACCUUAAUUAAAAUGGCUACUGAAACGAUAUUUAAAAAUUUGCUUGUAACUCUUCCUCAUCAUUAAAUAUUGAAAUAUUAUUGGAAGCAGCCCCUGUUUGGGAGCAACCGGCGCACACCUUACGUGGAUCUGGUAAAAGACCAAAUUGUCCCUCCAGCUUUCCCCGUUCCCUCCCUCUAUGUUUCCAUUUGAUUUUUGAGAAAGAAACAGGUCUUCGUAUUCGCUCCUCUCUCCUGAGUCUCCCCCGAACCUGUGUCGGUUCCAUCCCCCCACCAGGUAGCUCAGGCCACUCUCCCCUUCGUAUGAGCAGAUCGUCUCCCACAAACUCCCCCUCAUCUUGCUCAUCCUCAUCCUUUCGUCUUCUCCGAUCUCAGCCCUCGAAGCGAAGCACCCACCAAGCUGAACCCUCCCCACCACAACCUCAGCCCUUCCGAGGAGAUCAGUCCCCAAGCGGUCCCUAACUUCACCAACGCGAAGCCCUCAGUCCAUUCGACGCGAAGUCGCCGUCAGUCCUUCGAGACAAAGCCGCCCUCAGUCCAACGACGCGAGCUCGCCCACAGUCCACCGACGCAAGGAGGGGGGAGUCCACCUACGCGAAGACGAAAUCAGACCACCAACGCGAAUCCUUCAAAUCUCCUGGAAGGUAAACAGAUUUCUAGGGUUUCGACAUACAUGUUUUUUUUGUCUAUUUACUUCAUUAUUUUUCUCUGUAUUUGCUAGAAAGUAAUGGUGAGGGGCUGUGGAUGUUGCCGAUGUUGCCUCUCAUGGCAUACAUUUAUCUUUUUUCUCUCUGUGACAACGAAAUAUACUUCAUUUAUCUAGAAAAUUACAGAUAACAAAGGUUGUUGUGCAAGUUUUUUUCAGGAACAUCCAAUUCCAAACAGAAUAAACAGAGGGAAUUUAUUACUCGCCAUCCAGGUUAUGAUAUCAAGCUCCUCCAUCGCAUACGAUUUUACUUAUCAGAAAAAAGAAAAAAAGCUCCUUCAUCACAUACUGAAAAUCUUAGGUUAGGAUUGAUAUUUGAAGUUUCUUACAUUCAUGUGUAAUUUAUGAUAAACUAUUACACCAUUAAUAAAAUAAAAGCACAUAUGGCAGUUGAUAUGUGUAAUUCUCAUAUCUGAAAAAUGUAUCAUUUAUGUUGUCUAAUUUCUAAUUGUUCUUUCAGAAUACGUCUUAGACCUCUGUUAUGGUAGUUCUAUGUUUUAAUUUUUUGAAGGUUAUUAGUUUGGUAAUUCUGGUGGAAAAAAACAGUUCAAAAAAUUAUCUCAAUCGCAUUGAUUACUUCUUUGGUGUACUUGAGUUGAUUUUAUAAGUAAAACCAAUGCAUAUUUGGCUAAUAUGUAAACUCAUUUGCGAUAUUUUGUUUUAGCUUUAACCCAAGAGUUGAACUCAAAAUCCAACCAUUUCCCUACACUUGCCGCUUGUCGUUUGGUAGCAUGGUAGGAUCCCUUUAACCAUAAUAUCAAAGUGGACUUGAAUUUUGAUUAGCUGUUGCAAUUCUACCAACUUUGGGUUUAAAUAGUUUUGGUUUGCAUCUGUUUCUGGUUUGAGUAGCACAAUUCUUGCUAAAAGCAUAUAGUUUGUUUUUUCUUCUGCACAUACACAUACAAUUAAUCCAUUAUUAAAAAUAUCAUCGAAUAGUAAUGUUUAGUUUCUGAUUUUGGUAACAUAAAAUUUUAAAAUAAGCCAUUUCAUUUUGUACUUUGUGACACUUUUGUUUCAACCCAUUCGUGUUUAAACAUUAUCCAAAGAAUAUCAUUAUUAUAUUUUUGCUAUCCUCCCUCUUCAAAAGCAAAAGAAAAUAAGACUUUGACACAACACGUACCCAUGUCAACACUAGUAAAUAAGCUACAGUCGCCAUCUACAUCAGUCCCUUUUUUAACUAUAUGAGACUCGGUUUAACUUUGUCCGUUAACUACCUGAAGUUGACCCCCGAAACCAUAGGUGGCAAAAAUUCAUUACGGACCUAGGUGCCCCUUUUACAGAACUAGCUUUGAAGUUUCUUUCUAGGCCUUCACAUCUAGUUUUCUAAUGAACUCUUUCGUGUGUAUUUCGACGCUUAAGACAAUAUAUAACAGGAAGUACACAAAACCUGCAGUCAUAUCUUUUUCCUCGCAUUCCAUGUGUAUCAAUUGAUUCCAUUAUAUGCUGAAGAUGCUUGGUAACAUGGGUUCUCUUUUCCUAGUUCAAAAAUAUAAUUUCUUGCUACAGCACCCUGAGUUCGACUUCUCAGAAGCACAAAUUUUCAUUGGUUUUUCAGAAUCAGUCAUGUCAGCAUCUCAAUCAUCAUCUUUACUUAAUGAUUUUGUAUUGGAAUCUCCAACAUGUUGGUGUGGUUUGAAAACACCACAAAAGACAUCUCACACAUCAAAAAAUCCUGGAAUGCGAUUUUUCGCUUGCCCAAACUAUAAAACGGGAGAAGCAAGGUGUGAAUUUUUGUAUGGGCCGAUAUACUUCAUUUGCUAGAGGAAAACUUUCAUGCCCGUGAGAAUAAGGCAAGAACUAUUACGUGGAAUGAUGUAUUACAACGCGAGUAUGCCGUUCGGAAAAGGGAAGAUAAAGUGAGAGAAUCAGCAAAGAAUCUAAAAAAGCAAAAGCGAAGACUUUUGCUUUUGUACUGGAUUCUGACAUUUGUAAUUGUGUUUAUUUGGUUCGGAUAAAUUCUAUGUGAUGUACGGUGUAUGGAUUAGAUGGGUUUUGCAUGGUUUUUUUGAAGUGCACAUGGUUUGGACCAAGACCAUGGAUGUAAAUUGUAUGGUGUUAACCUCACCGUGUAAAGAAGAACUUUUGUGCAAUUAAAUUGACUUUGUAGAGUUUA